rnacentral:lncRNA from 1 species
CUCUUCUUUCUCUAUAAAUAUAAAUAUCACUUAUCCAGAGAGACAAACAAUUUAAGCUUAUUUUUAUGUUCGUGUAAUAGUAGUUUAAAAUGACAUUAAAAAUCAUUUCUCAAUUAUACCCUCAUAUCCACCUAGUAAUUCACAAGUACAAUAAACUAUUUACCAUUGAGUAGUCUAAAGGUUGAAGGGCUUCAACAGGAAUUUUAUAAAAUAAUUUCAAGGAAAUAAUUGAUUUUUGAUCUGUCUGUUUUUUCCUCUCUCUAGAUAGAUAAAUAGGAAUGGAUGUGGUGUUAAUUAACAUCAUUAAAUUUUAAUAAGAAAGAAACAAACCUCCUCCUUUCUUCCCUCAUGAUUUCCUCAAAGCCUGCCUCCAUAUUAUCAUCAUCAUCGUCAUCAGCACAGUUCUCAGGGUUGUAACUGCAGAUAAUCCAACAGAAGACCAUAAACAGUUAUAAAUUGUCUGUAAUGGAAGAAAUCAAGACACAAGCAGUACUUAGUGAAACAAAGUUUCAUUGAAAAUUAUCCUUCCCCAGCCCCCCAAAUCCCCUCUUCUGUCCAGCUUGCACCAUAAGAUAAACAAGAGACAGGAAUCACAACCAUCAAGCUGAAUUCAAACACACAUAUUAUGUAGUUUGAGGAUGAGGUCCUAUGUCAGCAAUUUAAUCAUGUAUUUAUUAAAAAAAUCCCCCUUCCCCCCUACCAAUUCCCAUAAGAGAAAUCAAGACACAAGUAGCAUAGCAAUCAAGGUGAAUUCAAACAUAUCUCUGCAGUCAAGUGGAUGAAUUCCAAAAUCAGCAUUUUCAUUUACAAGCUAGAUCUACGGGGUAAAGCUAGAGGUAAAGGUUAUUUUUUGUCCAGUUGUAGGAAUGAGGUCAUGUACAAUGAAGAAGCAUUUUCUUUUUUGGACCUAAAACCAAACUAAAGAACACAUUGUAUAUAAAUCAAGAUUCUCUGCAUAUCAAUUGAAAACAUAAAAUUCUUACUGAUACAUUGAUCUGAUC